rnacentral:rRNA from 1 species
AUUAACGCUAGCGGCAGGCAUAAUACAUGCAAGUUGAACGGCAGCACAGGUAGCAAUACCGGGUGGCGAGUGGCGCACGGGUGCGUAACACGUAUGCAACCUACCCUAUACAGGCGAAUAACCUUUAGAAAUGAGGGCUAAUACGCCGUAGUAUUAUCUUAGGGCAUCUUAAGAUAAAUUAAAGAUUUAUCGGUAUAGGAUGGGCAUGCGUCCCAUUAGUUAGUUGGUAGGGUAACGGCUUACCAAGGCUAUGAU